CUAGCUUCUUCUCUUGGUUACCAAGAUUUCCUUUGAUUUUGCCAAUUUGGUGCAAAUCUUCUUCCUUUUCCUAGCUCAACUUUUUCCUUUACUUACCCAGAGAGGCCUGCUUGCGUUUUCUUCCUGCUUUCUGUGUCUUCAAGUCUAACUCGGAGGGUUGGUAUCUGCUGCAAAUCUUUCCAUUUUUCCAUCAUCACAAGAAAGUAGAAGAGAUGGUGAGAGGAAAGACUCAAAUGAAGCGUAUAGAGAACGCCACAAGCCGGCAAGUAACUUUCUCGAAGCGGCGAAAUGGGUUGCUGAAGAAGGCUUUUGAGCUAUCAGUUCUUUGUGAUGCUGAGGUUUCUCUUAUCAUCUUCUCUCCAAGAGGGAAGCUCUAUGAAUUUUCUAGCACCAGGUACCACUAUUCUCC
rnacentral:sRNA from 1 species